UCCAAGCAGUUAAGAGCUGUUUUGUAAAUUUGCUGUGCUUUUACCCUAGUUUUACCUGGGAAUUAAAAUGGUGAAUGCAUAGUCUCAUACUACUGCUUUAUUGAGAUGAUUAUACUCCAAAUACAGUGGCUAUGUUCUCUAUUUGCAAAUCUGACUGUACAUAGUUGGAUCAUAAUUAUCUGAUUCUCUUCUUGGCUCCUGCCUCAUUUAGGUAUGCUCUGGUUGAGUCACUGGGGAAUUGUGCACAGAGGAGCUGGCUGGCCCCUUGCCUUCUUUUCCAGGUUUACCAGAGUUAAAACUCACUUACUAGCAUUUUUGCUUGAAAAAUGUGAUAAUCUUCCAUGUGUUCUAAUAGGGAAAAAAAGGCACGAAUUAGCAUCAGAGGUACUGUACUGUGACACAUCAAGUUUUUCCCUUCAAUUAAAUUAUUCAGUGGAAGGGUGUCAGAAAGAGGUCUAGCACUGUUUGUUUGGCAUGGAUCAGUAGUCAGACCGGGGUGAUUCAGUGUGCCUUGUAUUUGUGAAAUAAGUUACUUUUCCCUUUAUGUAAGGGGAAGCAUUUGUGGGAGUUUGCCUCUCAGGCUGUGUGGUCACACAAAGUGGCAGAAAAUUGUGUCUGCAGGGCAUGUAAUCCUGCGGGAUGAUGCUGCAUGAGGUGAUGUGUGGCUCCAGUCAGAGGUCAGACUGCCCAGUAGGAGGAACAAGAGCUUCUUCAGCCACAGCUCUGUGUGUGUUGCAUACAAAGGGUUGUACCUUCUUUGAACCUCAUCAUGGUUGUAAAUAGUCACAUUUCUUAUAACUGAGAAUUGCUUUAUUACAUUACCAGAAAGAAAUAGAAGCACAAAGGAGUGGUUAUCCACUUCCAAACAUUGUGUCUGUAGACGAGCAGAGUAGUGGCUCCUAAUGCAGCUGUUGUGGGCAUGUAGAACAAUGUGAUUAAGAUUUCUGUUCUCUCAGGCUGGUUGUGCUUGCUCUUGUGCUCAUUGUAAUUGAUUGACUGGCAGCAGUGUGCUCGUUUCUUAGUGCACUUGUCCUGGUGCCCACUGGCACUCAGCUGCCAUCCCUGGCUGGCCAGGUGUUACCCUGGGAGUGUUACCGUGCUAAUGAGUGUGACAGUGGCUGUAAUGUAUAGGAAAGGGGGUCUGGGAGAAGUUAAACAAGGUUGAUCCAUCAGUCAGGAAAAAUGAGCAAAAUUUGCCCUCAAUGUGGAGUGCACUGAAGAAACAGUGUUGCAGACCAGUUAUCUGUGGAUUCUUUUGAGUUCCAUGGAGUAAAUGCUGUGGAGAAGACUUGGCUCAGAGCUUUGAGGACCAAGUAAUUGAGGUAAACCCUGAGUUACACAGGACAUAGGCAUGGUUUUAUAAGUACUGGAAGUACUGAAAAGUGUUUCUUCUGAUUUCAGCUAAUAAUAGGGAAUGUGGUAUACAAUUGUUUGCUUGAUUGGUUAAUUUUAUUGUGUGUAAAUACAAGUUUGCCUUUUGUUCAGUGGUACUCAGCUGCCGUGCUUUUGGUAAAUCCAGUGAAUUAAGGGGAGUAAGUAAUGUGCCCUGGUCUGUCAGUGAAACAAGUCCCUUUAAAAUUAAGGCCAUGAGGGAUAUGGUGAGGGUGAAGAGGAGUUAGAAAAACAGUGAGCAGAACUGGUCACCUGUGCCACAGAACAGAAACCUUCAGGCCACAUGUGCCCCAGGCACACGACUGGUGAUGUGAGCUGCCUCAGUGAAAAAGGAGUGGUGCUCUCCCAUGUGUGGCAUGAAACUCUGAUGCCACUGAUCUUAAUGAAAAUGCACUGGGUUUUGCACUGGGGCAGAUGAGAGCAGAAUCUGGCCAACUGUUAAUAGCUUUUUGUUAUUUGAGGCUGAAAUAAAGUGGCUGUGUAUGCAAAUAAUUGUGCUAGUGUGACUUCUGAAUGACUCCCAGAAGGAGAAUUCAGUAUUUAAUUGUUGGAAAUACAAACUGUUUGGCACAAAUUUCCUGGUUUGGCUGAGCUAUACUUGACCUGUGACAGAGAGAGCAAAGGUGAUUUUAAGUCCUGGGAUCUGAGGGGCCACUGUGUAAUGUAACUUGAGUUAGAGUCAGUGUGUUGACUGCUUUGCAAUUGCAGAUACUUAUUCUGUGUACAAAAUCAGUUGAUUCAUUAUCUUUUAUUUCCAUUAUCUCAAUCUUUAUGUGUGAAUCUGAGCUAUUUGAGUUCAAGGGAAUGGCAUAUAACUAGAAUUUUUAAAAAGGUGCUUGAUAAUAAAAAUUUGAUUGUUCUGAUAUAAAGAUGUUCUGGUAUAAUCAAAAUGAUGAAACUGGUUAAAUCUAUCUUCAGAAUCUGAAAACUUUGCAAGGAGUCUAAGAAGUUCAAAAUAACCUUUCUUCUACUCCAUGACCUGCAUUUCUUGCAGUAUUUUGAUCCAUGCCUUGGAACAAGGAUAGUAUAGCUCUUAGAAUAUAAGAGACAAUUAGAAGCAACCAUAAUGCUGUAGCUUAACACUCUGUUACUCUUCAGCUGUACUUCAGGAAUCAGCUGAACUCAAAGAACUCUGCUCUUAAUACAGAAGUCAUGUGGGGAAGACAGCUUAAGCCAUCUUUAUUUUGUUAAAUUCUGAAACUGUGAUAAUCUCAUCAUAAAUUAUCAGAUAUCCUUACACCUAGAAAUGUGGCCAUCCCAUUUUAAACUCUGGAGAGCAGAGAAUGUUUUUUCUGGAGCCAAGAUCUAUAAAUGCUUUCAGCUUUCAAGGAGCCUCCAGUAUUUGAAAAGUAAGUUUUACUUACACAAGCUAAAUAUUGCCACUUUUAAGUGCAAGUGUUGAUGUGGAGAGAUAUGAAAUUUUGUUGGAUUACAAGUGUGAGCCCAGAGUUGAUGGGGUAUGUUUGAAAAUAAUUCCUGGCAGAAGUUACGCUGGCUGAGAAUCAUCCUCACACUGUGUUGACAUCACUGGAAGAUGCACACAUGAAAUGAAAGUACUGUGUGGCCUUUAAGCUUCUGUUCCUGUGGUACCUGAAGUUUCAUAAUACACAGAAGAAACAUUCACUUUUCCAGGUAAUUGUUACAGAAUGGGUGUCUGAUCUAUUUCGGUCUGCUCUGUCUGGGAAAUGUCUCCAUGACUUUAGUGAAGUGCUGUGCGUGCACAACAAAGAGGCUUUUUGGAUGGAAUUUGUAAUGCAGGACUCAUUAACUGAUAGUGGAUAAUUUUGAAAGAGAUUAGUACAGCACUUGCUGCUCACUUAUAUCAUAGAAAUAACUUGAGGUAAUAUGUUCACCAUACUGAGAUGUUCUCUAAAAUACUUGCUAACAGGUUACUUAUGCUUCUGUAUGCCAAAAGCAGUAGCUUUUUCUCCAAACCAAACAGAAAAUUAGAUUAUCUUAUUUUUUAUUUGUAUGGGGAGUAAGUGUGAAAAUUGUUAUGGAUGUUAUGUAAGGGUCACCAGUGGGAAAUCAGGUCCAGUGCUUUGUGUGUUUGUCUAAAGCAAGUGGCAUUUCCAUUUUGUUUUUCAAGACCGCUGAGGUCUUGUCUGCAACUAUAUCAAGAAUAUAUUCUCUAUCACACAGAAAAAUCAGUCAAGUUUCCUGUUGGUGUGUGUCUCCUCCUUUUGGCUGCUUAUUAUUUUAGAUACAGCUCUAUGGCACAGGAACUGUCGGUCAGUACUCAUGAGCCUGUGGGCACUGCUGGAAUAGAGAGAGCAACUUUCCUUCCACUGCUGUUUUGUGUAACUGAAGACUAAGCUGGAGGGCUGGUGGUUUGCUUUUCUAGGUGAACCCAGGGAAGCAGGUGCAUUGCAUAAGGAGUCCUGCAUUGCUUUGGUUGGCUCUGAAUGUGGCUGGAUACAUCAGAAAUCCCAGAGUUUCUCAGCUUUCAGCCCUGUCUCUGUGUCCUACAGCACCAGUCUCCAGGGAACUGAGAUUGGAGGAUAUGCGUUGCAUAAAAAAGUCCCGGUCCCUGGGAAUUUAUGAAAAAUAGCAGAAUAAAUACUUAUAACUUGCUUUCAUGUUACAUGGCAUGGGACUUGCUCUUCCUUGCAGAUGACUUCUCCAGUGCUGUUUGGAUGUGCCUGCUGCUCUGUGAUUGCUCCUAAAGCCUUGAUUUGACAGCAGCCUCUGGCAUGCUGUGGGCCAGCAGAUCUGCAUAGCAACAGACCUGCCAGUCUUCCUGCAGAGAGUUGAAGGAAUUUUGGAGAAAAUAAGCGAGUCAGAAAUUUGCUAUUCUUUUCUGUGGCAGUUCCCUGGAUUCAAAGUGUCCCUCGUCUCUGGCACAGCCAAGAACAGGGACUGUGUGGAGAGCUGUGUUUGAUGGCACCUGGGUCAGCAGAAGGGCACACAAGUUAUUCUGCUACUUGCAUGUCUGCUGGAGAAGGUGGAGGUGUUCCUGUGCCAUACUGGUAAUACAACAAAACUGCCAUGAAAGCUCUGAUUAGAAGAUGAAGUGUGAUGCUAUAAAUAAGGGAACUUACUGACUGAAGAAAAACUUAAUAAUGAGAUGAACAAUUAGCUUAUCUUUCACUUUUCUAGAUACUUUAAGACCUAAAGAUUUAGAAUUAAUCUAGAAGAAGCUGGAGAAUUAAUUUGAAGCUGCUUAAGGAUUCCUGAUUGAUUUAUGGUACUCUUCUGGAAGAAGAGACUCUUAACUUGAAAUUAGCUUAAUCCUCACUUUAUUAUUGUUACUGGUCAAAUUAAUUGCUGUCUUUGUCAGAGAUCAUAAACACUCAACAAAUUUGAUAAUACAUACUUAGGUGUUUUUAUUUCUUGAAAGGUGAAGAUGUGUAAAAAAAAAAAAGAAUUUUGGUGGAAGUUUGUUAGAAUGAGUAAUCUCAGUAAUAUACGUGAAUCUAUAGAACAUAAUUUGAAAUCUUAUGCCUUUUGAGGUUUGCCCUUGUUCCACUUGUGUUUUGUCACUUUUUCCAGUCAUAAUUUCAAAAAUGUCAGAGUAGCCACAACAGAGCAUUUCUCCUGUUCCCACCUGGGCUCUGUGAUGUGAAAACAUGUUAGCACACUAGUGAUGAGCAUUGCCUUGAUAUUGGACUGGGCUGCUGAUAAUUUUAUGUAUUUCAGAAAAGUUGAAAAACUAGAUUCAUGAAACAGCACUUGUAAACCAUAACCUCACCACAAAGACAUUAGGGUGGUCGUGGCUGUAUAGAGUAUUUUAACCAGACACCUUUCACCCUUUCACAAAUCUUUUCUUUUUGAAGGUAACUGUGGGUGGUCUUCCUUUGUCCAAUUUCUGUAAAUUUGGUACAUCACUUUCUAGUUAUGCAGCUGAUUCUUGUGUUUAUGUGAAUGGCUAUUUAAAAAAAAGGAAAGAUCAGAUAUUUGUUGUUUCUUCAUUUCAACAUAAAUCAAACUUUGUACUCACAUGGCAAUUCUAGUUUAGUCCCAGGAAUAGCUUUAGUAUUGCUAAGUGUCUGGAGAGUAUUGACCAUAGAGACAUGAUUUUAAGCAGGCUAUAAUAGUUUCUACAGCUGUUAACAGUUCUCAGAAGAAAGCCAGUAUUAUUCAUUGGUAUUUAAAAUGUGCAUGACUUGCAUUGCACAGAAGUCAGAUUGGGAGAAUGUCAAAUUUUUUUUUCUAAAAUUCUGCCAGGAAAGUCUUCAAUAACUGGAGAAAUUCUUUUCACUGGUGAAAUCAACAUGCAGCACAUUGUGUUAUUAUACUUGCUUGUAGCUCACCAUGAAAGUUGUCUUUGUAUGCGUGGAUGUACGGCUUGUACUGUUUUGUUUUUAUUUAUUCUGCAUUCUUUAUUAUAAUGUUCUUUCCUUUUUUCCAGACUAAAAAGAUUGUUAUUGAGCCUUCCACAAAGCUGAAAUAAUGCUGUAUGUUAAAAAAAUGUUAACAAUUCGAAGAAGUUAUAAAAAUUUAUAAGUUGACUGAAUACUUUGGAAAUUUCUGCAUAUUUUAAUAUAAAUAGGUGCUGGCAGCAUGUGGAACUGAAAGCAGUGAAAGUCUGAAGGACUGGGGCACCAGAGGAGGUCAUGAGGAGCUGUCAUGCCUUAUAAGCCCUGCGGAAAGAGAAAGGGAGAAUGAUUCAUUGGUUGAUGAAAGCCUCUGUAGGUAAAGUUGGUUCAUCCCCUUUGUGCUGCAGCUCUUGGUCACCCCAUCCAGCAUGGACAAAAAGGCUGCAUAGCAUUCAGGGAAAAAACUGUGUCCUCCUGCUACUCUUGGUUUGUGGUGUAUUUAUCCACAUCACAUAUAGAACUUGGUCUAGACAGCCUGGUUAACUUAUAAGCCUUGGAAGUAGGAUCCUACAGGGAAUUCUACAGGACAAAGUGCUGUCCUGGAAGAUCUCUGAGAAAAAGAGGGCUGCUGUGAGUCUUAGUUCACUUUGAUCAAGUUAUUUCUACUGGAUGGUGUGAAAAACAAAUCAGGGAGUCUUAGAUACCAUCUCUUGGAGAGAAUGAAUCUGGAUUCAAUGCAGCUGGAUGCAGAAAGCUGAGGCCUAGCAACAACUGCAGGGCACAGUUACUACUUCAUCUUCUUUUUGGAGGUGUGAAGAGCACUUGUCCAUUUGUAACUGAAACUAUUCAAGAUGCAUGGGCCUGAAAGGGGACUAUAAGUUUCUCCUGCUUUCUAGUGUAGUAGAGAUCUUGUCUCCUAACAAACAUUAUGAAUAAAAGCUUUUGGUACAAGGAGAGAUGCACCAAUCUGGAACGCUGCUGUGAGCAGAUUUAUGUCUGCUUCUUCCCUGCCUUGGCAUUCUGGCAUUUAUGCACUCACUGCUCUGGUAGUGCACAUUCUUGCAGUGGUACUUGGAAGUUUACUGAAGCCCAAGUGUCUGAAAGAUACAGUGGAUCUGCUCACCAAGAGAAUUUGUCCCACUGGAUUCCUUUUUUUUUUUCUGUGCAGUUGAAUGAGGAGUAUGUGUCUUUUGAAGAGCAACAACUGAAAGAAA